ACACCUCAACUCUCAUGGUUUGCCAUGAUGAGCUUGGACUUUGGGGGUUUUGCUGGCCUAUGGUCGGCUCUCCUCAAACGAAUCAGCUUGCCAGUGUUUUGGUGGCAUUCACGGGUGUGAUAACUAUCUACGCUUGUGGGUUCCUGCCAUGCAACCUUCAGUGAUGAAGGUUCGCUGGAGCUUAUAAAUGUCUCUCUCAGCGAGGACACCUUUUUGAA
rnacentral:misc_RNA from 1 species